rnacentral:rRNA from 1 species
GAUGAACGCUGGCGGCGUGCCUAAUACAUGCAAGUCGAGCGAACAGACGAGGAGCUUGCUCCUUUGACGUUAGCGGCGGACGGGUGAGUAACACGUGGGUAACCUACCUAUAAGACUGGGAUAACUUCGGGAAACCGGAGCUAAUACCGGAUAAUAUUACGAACCGCAUGGUUCGAUAGUGAAAGAUGGCUCUGCUAUCACUUAUAGAUGGACCUGCGCCGUAUUAGCUAGUUGGUAAGGUAACGGCUUACCAAGGCAACGAUACGUAGCCGACCUGAGAGGGUGAUCGGCCACACUGGAACUGAGACACGGUCCAGACUCCUACGGGAGGCAGCAGUAGGGAAUCUUCCGCAAUGGGCGAAAGCCUGACGGAGCAACGCCGCGUGAGUGAUGAAGGUCUUCGGAUCGUAAAACUCUGUUAUUAGGGAAGAACAAACGUGUAAGUAACUGUGCACGUCUUGACGGUACCUAAUCAGAAAGCCACGGCUAACUACGUG